rnacentral:rRNA from 1 species
UACAUGGGGUGCAAACGUUGCUCGGAAUCAUUGGGCGUAAAGCGCACGUAGGCGGUUCGUUAUGUCGGAUGUGAAAGCCCUCGGCUUAACCGGGGAAGUGCAUCCGAAACUGGCGAGCUUGAGUACUAAAGAGGGUCGCGGAAUUCCCGGUGUAGAGGUGAAAUUCGUAGAUAUCGGGAGGAACACCAGCGGCGAAGGCGGCGACCUGGGUAGAUACUGACGCUGAGGUGCGAAAGCGUGGGGAGCGAACAGG